GUUCUGGAUUGAUACAUGGGGGGUUCUGGAGAAUUUUAGCAAGGGAAGACGUCAUUCUUUGUAACCGUGAGCACCAUCUUCAUAGUUGAUCGUCACUCACAUCUCCAUCAUCGACUUGGAAAGAAGGGCUACAACUAGAGAUUACCACUUGUCUCUGUCUUGAGGAGUUCAUCAGCAACGUGCUUUCUCUCAGAUCAACCAGACGUCUCACCAUGGGAACACCAACUUCACCACUGCCAGUCCGCUUGCCUCUAUCAUUCGCCCAUCACCAUAACAAGAAACACCUGCAAUGUCGUAUUAAUCAUCAG
rnacentral:lncRNA from 1 species